rnacentral:rRNA from 1 species
CCUACGGGAGGCAGCAGUAGGGAAUCUUCCACAAUGGGCGCAAGCCUGAUGGAGCAACACCGCGUGAGUGAAGAAGGGUUUCGGCUCGUAAAACUCUGUUGUUGAAGAAGAACGUGCGUGAGAGUAACUGUUCACGCAGUGACGGUGUUCAACCAGAAAGUCACGGCUAACUACGUGCCAGCAGCCGCGGUAAUACGUAGGUGCCAGCAGCCGCGGUAAU